ACCGGCUUUCCCCUUUCGCACUUUCCUUGUCCAGUUCUGUAACUUGAACCAGCCUUGCCAGGUUGCUUGUCACUCAGUGUUUUGACUUUGCUCAGUCGAGGGUCCUGUGUUGGCCACACUGGCAGCUUCUCUCUCCUGCCUAAUCACACAGCACUCGGGGAGCCUGUGAUCGGUGAAAUGCAAAACUGGAAAUUCAAGCUGCUGCACAGAGGAUUACCCUACACAAUGAAAACUCUAAAAGAAAACAGGUCAAAUUUAGGCAGCAGAAGGAAAUAAGAAACUG
rnacentral:lncRNA from 1 species